ensembl:lncRNA
AGCUGGCCCCUCAUCCAUUCCUUUCCUUCAACAAUCUUUGCUAAAUGUCUGACAGAAGCCAAAAUCAAUGAAAUGCAAUCCUGCCUUAAUGAAAACUCUACUGUGGCCGAUGAAUGCAGGUAUAGAAAGAGACACUGCAAGUGGGAACUCUAAUGAUAAAGCUACAUAAGGAUUGCUGUUAGAAGAUUGAAAGAAUAUAAUGAAAACAUCAAGUUUUAUCUUGUAUACAUAUAACGUGGAAUGAAGAGGAUCUAAAAUUGUACAACUGGGAUGCAUCUUCACAUAGUAAUUGAUGAGAGCAACUCACAGGUAUCAGCAUGUGUCUAUGCUGGGCUAACAAUGGUAACCUAAUUAUAGUACAGACCAUCAACUCAAAGGUAUUCUUUAAUUUGACCCUUUCAAUAAUAAGAGCACUAAGAUCAAUGAUACUCAAUUUUCAAAUUGAACUGUCUUUCACUGCCAUGCAAAAGUCACUGCCGCCUCAUUAAUUUUUAAUCUCACUCUUCAUGUAUCUUCAGGAACACUACAACCCUUUGGUUUUUACCUAGUAACUCUAGCCACAAUCUCCUUUAAUGGGUCUUCCUCAUUUUGUCAAUAUCUAAAUGCCAGAGCAUCCAAAGCAUGGUCUCAGGCACAUAUGUUCCUACUCCCACAUACACUCUAUCUCUAGAUCUCAUCCUUUCCCACAGCCAUUACGUAUUAUCUCUAUCUCCAAAUACCCCCCAACUCAAGCUUCCUGUUUACACUUUCAAAACCAAAAUCUUAAUCUGUGGGUUUAAUAUGGAACUAAAACUGGCAAAAUAGUCUUUUUAAAAAUCAUGCACUCAAAGAAAAACCAACCCUCCCUAGUAGUUGUUGAGGUCUAAAUCAUAAGGAGUCCUGUUUCAGUCCUCUUCUCCUCUCAUAUGGUACCAUUCAAUGCUUUAUCAUGUAGGACUGGCAAGGAUUUCAAAAUACACCCCAAAUCCUAGUACUUCAUAAUACUUUCAUGUAAGACAACCUAAUGUAACACCUAUGUACAACUUAUGUAAAUACAACUUCUUACUUCUAGUUUUGCUAUUAGUAUUUAUACCAUCCACAGUGAUCUUUAUCCUACCUAACUUGUUUUAAUAUAUAAAAAUAUAGACAGUUAAGUACUGCAGAAAAGAAAUUCGUAAACCUAAAAAAAACCCAAAGCAGUUGGCAUGUUAAUUAUGAGUAAAAUACAGCCAUUGAACAAGGCAUUCUUGUUCAAGGCACUUAGGGAGAACACCCACUAAAUCUUGGAAAUGACUAAAUGAGACACGAGAGAUGACAUUUUUAGAAUCUCUAAUUCCUGAAGAUAAAUGAAUUUUAGAAUCAAAUUAUCUUGUGGAAAAAUCAACAUGAUUGUCAUUUAUUCCAAGGUGACAAACGAGGUACAACAAUGUAGCAGAGAAUAUUUCAAACCAUCAAAUAAACAUGAGACUGGUAUUUUUAACCAACUGUACACUUCUGUCUUGGAAUUAACUUUACUAGAUAAAUCAAAUACCAGAAGAGUCAGAGGUCUGAAUUUUUUUGUGCAAAUCGUUUAUCAGUGAGCAGUGAACCUCAACAAAUGCAAGGAGAAAUAAAAGGCUACAAUCUUCUCCUCGGCUUUCCUUGGUCCGUGUCACUCU